AGAAGAAGAAGAAGAAGAAGAAGAAGAAGAAGUGCUAGUGAGAAGGAGCAUCGCUGACUGCCAUAUAAAGUUGAAGGUGAACGAGUGGAGAGGGUGGACGGAAGGAUGGAGGGAUGAAGGGACGAAGGGACGAGAGAAAGGAACAGAGCAGGGAUGGUGUCUCUCCCCUGGGCAGCCAGAGGGGUGUGCUACAUCUCACCACUGGAGCGUGAACCGAAAGAGGCUGAUGAGGGAACGAGUGUUUAUAGCUGCUAAAGCGUAAGCGACAACAGGAACUAACUUGUUUCACAGACAUUCCACAACAUUAUAUUUAACAACAAACGGAUAAAAAGUGUGUCGACUUCAUUCUAUAAUAAAUGUAAUUGUUGGUAAAUUGCUGUGGUAUAAGAGGAAUUAAACAAUUCAGUGUGUGUGUGUGUGUGUGUGUGUGUGUGUGUUUUAUCCUUGUAUCUGUCUUCUUCUUCUUCUUUUUUUGAUUGCAUCAGCGGUUUGAAAACUGCGCACACACCCUCUGUUUUAGUUUACAGUGGAACACCGUACUCAAGGUAGGACGCUCACUAACACACACAUACACACACACACACACACACACACACACACACACAGAGGAAAAGCUGCAGACGCUGCAGGGAUGGUUCCUCAGGGAGUGUGUGUUUGAUAG